rnacentral:lncRNA from 1 species
UUAAAUGAUUCAGUUGUGUUUCCUUAAUACAUAUAUUACUUGUUUUGCAUGAUUUACAGUUGAUUAUAAAAUGUAAAAUUAAUAUACAAAUAGAAAAUUACUUGAUGAUGUGAAUUAAUUAAUGAUUGUCUUACUGAAUAUCUUGAAAGAUGGUGGAUGGACCGGGUUCAUAGAGAACCCUACCGUGAACGUCACCUCAUACCGGACGGGGUAUCGAGAGAUGAUAUUUUUAUCUCUCAUACCAGACAAGGUAUGGGGACGGCUCAAUUUACCCUCAUACCUGACGGAGUAUUGAG